GCAGUACUGUUCAUUCUAAACUUACAAGUAGGCUGCAGUAGGUUAUACAAAGUCUUCAACUCAUCAACAGAAAUAAAACCUGUGAGUGAAGACAAAAUCUGAUAUAACAACAUCCCCAAAAAGGUUAUAUUAUCACUGCUAACAGCAAUUGUAUCAGAAGCAAUUUUGGAUGCAACAUGUAAUUGAGGUAUGCAGUAGAUAUUCAGAAUGGACACGAAAGGAAUUUGUUGCCAAGAUCAGAGGCCAUGUUUGCUGAUUUCGGGCACUUAACGCAGUUAUCAAUCCAGAUUGCUUUUAUUUCAGUGAUAUGGGACAAGCUGCUUAUCUAUCAAAAGGCAUCAUGAAAUUGAGCAUGCAUAUCAUGCCUUCCUCAUAAAAUCAGAAAAACAAAUAGGGACCAAAAU